rnacentral:rRNA from 1 species
UUAAGCCAUGCGAGUCGAACGAGUUUAGGCUCGUGGCGUACGGCUCAGUAACACGUGGAUAACCUACCCUUAGGACCGGGAUAACCUUGGGAAACUGAGGAUAAUACUGGAUAGGCAAUUAUUUCUGCAAUGGUUUUUCGUUUAAAUGUUUUUUUCGCCUAAGGAUGGGUCUGCGGCCGAUUAGGUAGUUGGUUAGGUAAAGGCUUACCAAGCCGUUGAUCGGUACGGGUUGUGAGAGCAAGAGCCCGGAGAUGGAACCUGAGACAAGGUUCCAGGCCCUACGGGGUGCAGCAGGCGCGAAACCUCCGCAAUGUGAGGAAUCGCGACGGGGGGAUCCCAAAUGCCAUUCUUAACGGGAUGGCUUUUCAUUAGUGUAAAGAGCUUUUGGAAUAAGGGCUGGGCAAGACCGGUGCCAGCCGCCGCGGUAA